rnacentral:lncRNA from 1 species
AAAUAAAUACAUAUAUUGGCUAGAGAAUGAAGCAAGAAAUUUCAAGUACGUAACGAAGUUCUCGAGAAGAUUGGCUGGAGGUGGAAAUAGGAGAAGCAAUAAAAGUCCACCGAGUGAAAUCAAUAUUCAGCUGCUUUGGUGUUAAUUUUUGCUGAAGUGGGAAUUAUCAUACCCACCGUAUUGUUUGAGGUACUACGCGCUCUGAUAUAUUUUUAGACAUUCCUAGGACAUUCUUUUAACAACCUUCAUUACUUAGUGAUCUGAGUUGUGUUCAAGUGUAUUCUUUUAACAACCUUCAUUACUUAAUGAUCUGAGUUGUGUUCAAGUGUUUUGUUAACUUCUUUCAGGUUACAUAUAAAUUUCGAUCAACUUACAGUGCGUUGGUUGUUGCAACGUAAUUUAGUAUAUUAAUAUGAAGUUCUUUUGUCGUAUUUAUUUAUCAUGCGUGACAACUCAUUAGAUUCGAUAAUAUGUUAGUAUUUGUUAUCAAUUAAAAAAAGAUUAGGAAAUAUUGUUAGUUCACAUAAUAUCUUUGAAUAAUUGAGAUGAACAAAGAACUGUCAAAGAAAAGAUAAAUGCCUCAAUUCCAUUUGAUAUGUCCUUGGUUCUUUACCUCAGUUUUCAUGGCAUUUGAUAUUUCCUUAGCCUCAAUUUUCAUGGCAUUGCAGAUUUCGCAGGUUUCUCGAAUUUAUAAUUAUGUUUUUCUCCUUUACACGUCCAGUUUUGUCUUGCUAUUUUCUUUUAAUUUUUGAUACUCUUGUUGCUUCUUCCCAGUCAGUGAGGUUAUCAUUUUUCCUUCAUGUAGGUUCUUAAGAAGGAAUUUAUUCUGUUAAUGUAAGAAAUGCUAACAACUAAGGUGGUCAAACAUCAAAAUAUUUUCGGUUUAUUUUUUUAUGAUGUCAUAGUAUUCUUCAAAGAACAAUUCUGCUUUAAGGGUGUUUAAACUGUUUCUUUGCUUCAGUAUGUAAUUGGUGGAGCACCUACCUUCAGACAUACGGUUUAUUACUGAAUUUAUUGUUGGAGAUUGUCUUUCUAGAAACCUAUCUUAUGGGAAGGCAAAAGGAGCUUGGAGGCAGAGAUGACAAUAGCCAAUGAAGCUACUAACAGGUAGGUUUAUAGUGUCUUAAUGGAUGAUAUAAAUUAAAUAUUUCAAAUCAAUUCCCUUGAUAUAUAUUCGGGAUAAAUUAUCUUCAUGAACAAAUUAGACCAUGUGUAAUCCAUUGUGAAAUAAAGAGAGAGAGCAACAAGGGUGUUGUUAGUACUUCAUUAUUUAUAGUUCACUCUUUUGUCUCUUUCCAUGUAAGUUAAAGUGUUGAGAUUAUUGUAUUAUUUGCUAUUUUAGUUCUAUCUGUAGAGAGAUUUGGGAGAAUUAAUUUUCUCGUAUUGUUCACAAAAGUAUAUAUAGAGUACAGAGAGGUAUCAAAUCCUACCAACUAUAGGACUGUACAAUAAUGAAGGAAAUCAAAAGAGAGGUAUCAAAUCCUACCAACUAUAGGACUGUACAAUAAUGAAAGAAAUCAAAUCCUACCAACUAUAGGACUGUACAAUAAUGAAAGAAUAUCCUACCAAUAAUAAAAAGAUACACACAAUACAAGAUGGAGGGUCGGAGGACAUGCCAAUAUUGGACAUCAGCAGAAGAAGCCGAGAAUGAGAUAAGUGCUUGGUGAGAGCAUCAGCAAGCUGAUCAGUGGAGGAUACGUGAGCAACACGAAGAGACCCAUUCUGAACCAAUUGACGAACAAAGUGAUAAUCAAUGGACGUGUGUUUCAUGCGCGAAUGAAACACAGGGUUGGCACCGAGGUAAGUGGCGCCAAUAUUGUCGCUGUAAAUGACAUGAGCGGCCAAAAAAGGGACAUGAAGCUCGCGCAACAGUGAAUGAAGCCAACAGACUUCAGCGGAAGAAGAAGCAAUGGCACGAUAUUAAGCCUCAGUAGAAGAUCGUGCAACGGAACGUUGCUUUUUGGAGCUCCAGGAAAUAGGAUUAGGCCCCAGAAAGACAACAUAGGCACCAGUUGAGGAGCG